GAUUCUGGAAUCUGCGGUCUUAAACCGUUUUGGCACCGGCUGUGACUGUGUUGGGGCCUGCCGCUGCUCCCUCAACUGCAGCUCAAUCUCCAAAUCACACCGCCUGUAACGCCUGUGUUUCGGGCUUGCCAUUUGUAGCAAUGUAAUAGUCUAGGUUGACCUUUGUAACCCGUUUUGAAAUAAUAAAAGUGUAUUAUUUGAGUAUUAUGUGUUUUGUGCUUAAUUGCUUAAUUAUGUGGUUUGAUUAAUUAAGAAUAAAAAUAAGCGUCAAAAUUUAAGUGUAAAAUAAACUUAAUGUCUUUGGUUAAUGUUGUAGUAAUUGAAACGAGGUUUCCGAAUAUAUAUAGAACGCCCAAAUCUGACUUCGUAUGAGGAAGUUAUGAUUUAUCGAAGUUCCGGCUUAGCGAUAUACAGCCUGUUUUACUCGAUUUGAGAUCGAGCGGUUGUUAGCCGAAGCAAUCUAAAUGAGAAUCGAAGAUCUCAUUGUUGGUAUUGAAACGAUAAAAAGUUAGGCGAGAACGGACGUCAAACGAAGAAGUUAUGAAUUUAUAACGAAAGUUUCUGUCCCGGCCUAUUAAAAAUAAUUAAUAAAAAUAAAGUCAAAAUUAGCCGACGGAGUCUAAACGAAAGUCGUAGAGCGUGGUCUCACCUUCGCGUGGAUAUAAAGAACGUUGAAAACGGAGUUCGUAUGAAGAAGUUAUGAAUUUCCGAAGUUUAUUAAUCAUUUUGUAUUUAUUUUUAAAUCAAAAUUCGGAAGCAUUAUCCGAAGGAGUCACCGAUCUGAUCCGAGGUACGCCCCGCGUACUCGAGUACGCCCCGCGUACUCCGAGGGAUGUCGACACUCGCACUCGAGCACUUCGGAUACGUAAGCAAUGACGUUUUGGGCAGUACGCCCCGCGUAACGCAGUACGCCCCGCGUACUCCGAGGCUCCAGCCUCCUAUAAAUAGGAUGCGAGGGUUCCGGGUAUUUUUGCCAAUUCCCUCUCGUUUUCGUGUCGAAGCUCUGUGCAAAAACCCCCGAAGCUACCCCGAAGUCCCGGUAUCAUACUCUAGCCCCGAGGCAAGUCCCGAGAUCCCGAAGAUCCCGAAAAGUGCGGUUCCCGAGUCGAAGCUCUGCCCGCGAGAAGUUCGAUUUUCGAGGAGAUCUUCCAGAUCUGCUGUGGAUUACUACUUCUAUAAGCCGUAGUGCUGUCCGAUCAUCUUCUGAUCAAGUGAGUGUGUAGUUAUUUCUUCUAAUACAAUAAUACGAAGUAUUUUAUAUAAAAAUACGUGCUAUGUGUAUAUAUUUGGUUGUGUUAUGUGUGAAUGAGUAUUCACUCUCUUCUAUCUUAUAGAUCUGCUUAUUUCUUUAUGAGAUAUGUGUUAUGUGUGUGUGUGCCUCAUCUGUUAUGUGAUAUAUGUGUUGAUUAAAGCAUGCUAUACAGGUUUUCUUUAAACUAUGUAUACAAAUGUAUAUUUUUAUCUACUAAUAUGUUGGGUAGAACAUGGGUAGACAGUUGGUGUGUAAUAAACAGAUGAGAGGCCUCGUUGUUGUUUGAUUGAGUCAUCUAGCGGAGUUUAGAUGACGACCACUGGCUAUUCUAGACAGUCUUGUGGAAACAUUAGCAGGUUCGCCACCUGUAGGUGUUAAUGAACUUGGGUGUUCAUUCGCUGUACUCCAUCCCCCUCAUGGUUGCCUUAUUUGACUUAUAUUGCUGAGGUACCCCCGAAGCAUGUGUUGUCGCCCCGAUGAAAUAUUCUUAGACUAGGUCCCUUAUGUUAGUUGUUUUAGGGACAUUAAAGUGAGAAUAACGGGAAUGGGUAAUUGGGUUAUUGUUGGUUGGUGAAAAUUAAAUAUGAUAUUUAUUGUGGGUUGAAAACCCUAUAUGCUCACCAGGCUCCCAAGCCUGACCCACUCAGUUUUAAAUUGUAUUACAGGUAGUGGCGGAAGGGCAUGAGAUGGAUGAACCAUCAAGUUGUUUUGUUUACAAGUCUGCAUAUGUUUAUAUUUGUUAUAUGACUUGUAAUGUAUUCGUUUAUGCUUAUUGGUCUGUAUCGGAACAUGACACCCCGAGUUUUGAUUAUAAUGAAAAUACAUUUCUUUUAUGAAAUGCUUCGGUAAACAAUGUUUUAUCAUGUUUUGUUUUUGGGAACAAAUUCCGCAACUCUUUCAAAUCAAAAGGAUUUACUCUGAAAAUAUUUAAAAGCAUAAAUGAAAAUCGGUCUUUUCUGGCCGAGAUUUUGGGGAUGUCACAGUUGGUAUCAGAGCAUUAGUUUAAGCGAACUAGGAAUUUGUAGGAUUUCUAGACUUAAACUUAGAAUGCUAAGUGAAGUUUUGAGAUGUGUGUCUGUUGUGAUUUAGACACGAGCACUAGUUUAUUUUAGGAAAGUUGCCUAAAAUGCUUUAUGUGCUAAAUGUUAUAUGUUGCCAUAUAUGAUAUUAUUUGUUCGGAUCUAUGGUCUGUUGCCGACCGGAUCUAGAAACCUUAUGUGUGUAGGAUUCUAAGCGUACGUCUACGAUAUUAGAACUAGCAUGUAAACGUUUCGGAGUGAUAAGGAUGAUUUGAAUAUCUAUCAUGAUUGAGGAUCUAAUUUCACCUUAUUCGGUGUAGAUCAAAAUGGUGAGAACAAGAAGUGGAGUUGGAAAUGCUGACGAAAACAGGAAUCAACCACCAGUGAUUGAGCCAAUACCUGUCGUAGCAGCAGCACCUGAGCCAAUAACCAUGGCUGGUGUGCAAUUGAUGAUUCAGACGAUGUUGGAUCGUCAGAUGGAUGAAACUAGACGGUUGCUUCAACAAAAUCGUGAAGAACUGUCGAUUCGUGUGGAAGAGCCUGAACUGAAUGAAGGGCACUCGGAAGGUGGAAACUUCAGUGGGUCUGUUGGUCCAGCCAACCCACCGAUAGUUAGGCAAGAUAACCAUGAUGGAAGGAAUGAUGGAAUGGGAUGCAAGUACAAGGACUUUUUGACUUGUAAACCAUCGACCUUCAAUGGAAAGGAGGAUCCGAUUGGGGUUAUGGAUUGGAUCUCCGAAAUGGAGUUAGCCUUUAUGACAUGUGGCUGUAGAGGCAAGUUGCAGACUAUCUAUGCCGUGCGACAAUUCCGAGGUGGAGCCGUUCGUUGGUGGAACACUCUAGGGAAGACCUUAAGCCCUAAUGAGCCACUGCAAUUGUCAUGGGCAGAGUUCUUGGUGCAGUUCAAGCGCAAGUUCUGCUCGGCUCAAAAUCUGUUGGAGUUGGAGAACAAGUUUUUGACAUUGACGAAGGGUAGCAUGUCAGUGGAUGAGUACACCAAUAACUUCACCGAUAAGAUGGAGUUUGCCUUGCGUAUCGUUCCAGACGAGCUGACAAAGGUGGAUCGGUAUGCGAAGGGACUUCCAUGGGAGUACGAGGUGCCGGUACGUCAGGCACUUACUCUAGAGGCAGCUAUCUGGGCUGCCAAGUCUGUGGAGAACAUGAUCAAGGGGAGAACCACCGUCAAGGUUGAGGUUGGUGAGAAAAGGAAGUUUGAAGGAACAUCUGGUUCCAGUAAGAAGAGCAAAUUUUCGAAAUCUGAUUCGAAAAAGUUUGGAGGAAAAGGAGGCGAAGCAAAGUGGUGUGAUAAGUGUAAGAAAAAGCACUUUGGGAAAUGUAGCGAGGAUGUGACCUGCUACAAGUGUGGAAAGGUUGGACAUUUUGCCAAUGAAUGUCCGAACAACAAAAGGAUGUGUUUUGGGUGUAAUGAAGAGGGGCAUAUUUUGAAAGACUGUCCGAAGAAGAAGGAGGCAGCUAGGCCCAACAUUCCACCAAAGCCGAAGGCGAGAGCCUUCCAGAUGACACUUGAGGCUGCGAAAGAUGAAGCUGAUGUCGCUUCAGGUACCUUUCUCGUAAACGAAUUACCUGCUCAUAUAUUGUUUGAUUCUGGAGCCAACUACUCCUUUAUUUCGCAUGAGUUUGGUAGAAAGCUAGCUUUGCCUGUUGAUAGACUAGAUAAUGCUUUAUUAGUCGAAGUAGCUAGUGGCAAGUUUGUACCUGUUAGCCAUCGUAUGAAAAACGUCUUGAUCGACCUUAAUGGGAAUAAGUUUCUCGAGGAAUUAUUGCCUAUCGAACUAAAUGGUUUCGACAUCGUCUUGGGAAUGGAUUGGCUUAGCGCCAAUGAUGCCGAAAUUUUGUGCAAGAAGAAGAUAGUUAAAGUAAACCCGCCUGGGAAAGAUUCGUUUAUGGUGUAUGGGGACAAACGCAGAGUGAAUUCUGGAAUCAUUUCUCUAAUGAAAGCCAGAAAGUGUUUGACCAAGGGAUGUACAUCAUAUUUAGCAUUCGUGAUUGAUGCUAAGAAAGAAAAGAAGGUGAUGCAGAGCAUUCCAGUGGUGUGUGAUUAUCCGGAAGUAUUUCCCGAGGAUCUUCCUGGAUUACCACCUGAUAGACAAGUGGAGUUCAGAAUAGACUUGUUACCAGGAACCACGCCAAUAGCAAAAGCACCUUAUCGAUUAGCACCGACGGAGAUGAAGGAGCUGAUGAUGCAACUUCAGGAGUUAUUGGACAAAGGUUUCAUUAGACCUAGUUCAUCGCCCUGGGGAGCUCCGGUGUUAUUUGUAAAGAAGAAAGAUGGAAGUAUGAGAAUGUGCAUCGAUUACAGAGAGCUGAACAAGGCAACAAUAAAGAAUAGAUAUCCGUUGCCGAGGAUUGAUGACCUGUUUGAUCAAUUGCAAGGUUCGAGCUAUUUCUCGAAGAUCGAUCUUAGGUCAGGAUAUCAUCAGCUGAAAGUAAGAGAGCAAGAUAUCGAGAAGACUGCAUUCAGAACUAGAUAUGGACACUACGAGUUCUUGGUUAUGUCGUUUGGACUAACCAAUGCUCCAGCAGCGUUCAUGGAUUUGAUGAAUAGGGUUUGUAAUCCUUUCCUUGAUAAAUCCGUGAUAGUGUUCAUAGACGACAUUCUGAUCUACUCGAAAAGCCAGGAGGAGCAUGGCAGACACUUGCGAGAAGUGUUAGAAGUUUUGAAGAAGGAGAAGCUUUAUGCGAAGUUCUCCAAAUGUGAUUUUUGGAUUCGUGAGGUCCAAUUCUUGGGUCACGUGGUCAACCAAGAAGGGAUAAUGGUUGAUCCAGCGAAGAUCGAAGCUGUGACGAAGUGGGAACAACCGAAAAGUCCCACGGAGAUUCGAAGCUUUUUAGGAUUAGCCGGAUAUUACCGAAGGUUUAUCCAAGGCUUUUCUUCGAUUGCUACUCCAUUAACAGCUUUGACCCACAAAGGAGCUACUUAUGCUUGGAGUGAGAAGCAUAAAGAAGCAUUCGAGAAGUUAAAGAAGAAGCUAUGCGAGGCACCGAUACUUUCUCUACCCGAUGGAGUUGAAGACUUCGCUGUUUAUAGCGAUGCGUCUGGUGUUGGAUUGGGUUGUGUUUUGACCCAAAGAGAAAAGGUGAUAGCAUAUGCGUCUCGACAGCUGAAAGAGCAUGAAAAGAAUUACCCGACUCAUGAUUUGGAGUUGGCAGCGGUAGUUUUCGCUCUGAAAAUAUGGAGGCAUUACCUCUAUGGCACGAAGUGCAAACUUUUCACUGAUCAUAAGAGUCUCCAAUACCUCUUUAAUCAGAAAGAAUUGAAUAUGAGGCAACGACGCUGGCUAGAAUUACUUAAAGACUACGACUGCGAGAUACUUUACCACCCCGGUAAAGCUAAUGUUGUUGCUGAUGCUCUCAGUCGGAAAGUCAAUCUUGAAAGGAAGAGGCCAAGAGCGUUGAGAAUUGAAGUUGUCUCGACUAUUGUGGAAAGUAUAAAGAAAGCUCAAGAGGAAGCUUCUGAGAAAAAUGACCGAAAGGAGGAACGUUUGGGUAAAACGUUGGUGUUUGGUACUAACGGUCAUGGACUGAAGGUAUUCCAAGAUCGUAUUUGGGUACCUAAGUCAGGAGGAAUUAGGGAUCUUCUGAUGGAAGAAGCUCACAAAACCAUGUACUCAAUUCAUCCGGGUAGCACUAAAAUGUAUAGGGACCUGAAACCCUACUACUGGUGGCCGACGAUGAAGCUUGAUGUUGCAAAGUAUGUGGCCGAGUGUGUGACUUGUGCGAGAGUCAAGACACAACAUCAGAAACCUUACGGGAGUUUAGAACCAUUGCCUGUGCCUAUGGGUAAGUGGGAAGACAUUGCUAUGGAUUUUGUCACUAAACUGCCCAGAACAAAGAAUGGUCACGACAUGAUUUGGGUGGUCGUUGAUCGAUUCACUAAGAGUGCGCAUUUCAUAGCGGCCAGGGAGAAAUGGUCUAUGGAAAAGCUUGCGAAUUCUUACGUGAAGGAAAUUGUGAGGCUUCACGGUGUUCCGUUAACGAUUGUAUCGGAUCGUGAUAGCCGUUUCACCUCAAGGUUUUGGAAAAGUCUACAAGAGGAAAUGGGUACCAAGUUAUGUUUAAGCACAGCUUACCAUCCGCAGACUGAUGGUCAGAGUGAAAGAACAAUACAAACACUUGAAGAUAUGCUGAGAGCAUGUACCUUGGAAUUCCUAGGUAAUUGGGAUGAACAUUUACCGUUGGUAGAAUUUUCCUAUAAUAAUAGUUUUCACUCGAGCAUUAAGAUGGCACCUUAUCAAGCUUUGUAUGGACAGAAGUGUCGUACGCCGUCUUGUUGGCUUGAGGCUGGGGAAAAGCAGUUUAUGGGACCGGAGAUGGUUCAUCAAACUGCUGAAAAGUUGAAAAUAAUUAGGGAAAGAAUGUUAGCAGCUCAAGAUCGUCAAAAGAGCUAUGCUGACAAGAAGCGAAGACCGAUGACUUUUGAGGUUGGAGAUUCGGUUUUGCUUAAAGUCUCGCCGUGGAAGGGACUUAUAAGAUUUGGUAAAAGGGGAAAGUUGAGUCCAAGGUUUAUUGGACCGUUUAAAGUCCUUCAGAGGAUUGGGAAUCAAGCUUACAAGCUCGAAUUACCCGAAGAACUGAAUGGAAUUCACAACACCUUUCAUGUGUGUUAUUUGAGGAAGUUCACGGGAGAAGUUCCCGAUAUAAUUCCAAUUUCUGAAUUGAGAAUUGAUGAGAACAAAAGGUUGAUUGAAGAACCAGAGGCAAUUGUUGACCGAAAGACUAAGAAGUUGCGACGCAAAAUGGUUGGGUUAGUGCUUGUCCGAUGGAAACACACGAAUGGGCCGAAUCUCACCUGGGAGACGGAGAGUGACAUGUUGAGUCGCUAUCCGCAUUUGUUUGUUGAUGUGUGAUUCCGGGGACGGAAUCAUUCUAAGGUGGAGAGAAUUGUAACGCCUGUGUUUCCGGGCUUGCCAUUUUUAGCAAUGUAAUAGUCUAGGUUAACCUUUGUAACCCGUUUUGAAAUAAUAAGAUUGUAUUAUUUGAGUAUUAUGUGUUUUGUGCUUAAUUGCUUAAUUAUGUGGUUUGAUUAAUUAAGAAUAAAAAUAAGCGUCAAAAUUUAAGUGUAAAAUAAACUUAAUAUCUUUGGUUAAUGUUGUAGUAGUUGAAACGAGGUUUCCGAAUAUAUAUAGAACGCCCAAAUCUGACUUCGUAUGAGGAAGUUAUGAUUUAUCGAAGUUCCGGCUUAGCGAUAUACAGCCUGUUUUACUCGAUUUGAGAUCGAGCGGUUGUUAGCCGAAGCAAUCUAAAUGAGAAUCGAAGAUCUCAUUGUUGGUAUUGAAACGAUAAAAAGUUAGGCGAGAACGGACGUCAAACGAAGAAGUUAUGAAUUUAUAACGAAAGUUUCUGUCCCGGCCUAUUAAAAAUAAUUAAUAAAAAUAAAGUCAAAAUUAGCCGACGGAGUCUAAACGAAAG
rnacentral:lncRNA from 1 species